UAUAAUUUUAUAGAUCUGAUCAUUAAUCACAAUUUAUUGGAUCCCAACAAACGAACCGCAAAAGAAUUUGUUACAUCAAAUAGAUCUCCAAGAGACCAUUGUAAUGAGAAGCAAAACGAGAGAGAAAGCCAUCUAGAUACUACCUACGGACCCGUAGGUCUGAUAUGAACUACUCACGCAUCGUCGGAGGAGCACCAAUGAGGAUGAUGAACCCCUGCAUCAUCGUGUUCCUCUUCCUACCAGGCUCUAGAUUGGAUAUCGUGGUAUCUGGAACUUGCGGCGGCUGAAACUAUUUUGUGUUGACUCCUCUAGGGUUUGUGCAAUAUUGGGGUAUUUAUAGAGCUCAGUGGCAGCAAGGGAGGUGCCUGAGGCCCCCACAACUCACGAGGACGCGCCCUCGUGCCUACUAGGCCGCCUCUCCUCUCGUGAUCAUUUUUGGUCCUCAAGUUUCCUUCUAGUUCAAAAAAAAUCUCCAAACAAUUUUGUGGUAUUGAUUUUCUGUGAAGGAAAAACAGCAAAAAAGAACAACUUGCACUUGGCUCUAUGUUAAAUGGUUAGGCCCAAAAAAUAAUAUAAAGUUGCUAUAAAAUGAUCAUAAAACAUCUAAGAAUGGUAAUAUAACAACAUGGAACAAUAAAAAAUUAUAGAUACGUUGGUGACAUAUGAGCGAACAGUGACAACCAACAAGCUCUAGUGGGUCGAAAAACAUCGACGACGGCAGCUAACAUGAGCCGACGGAGUGUGCCUUUUGGUGAGGCUGCGGUUCUAAGACUAUGUGCAAGCUUGGGGCGUCUGCAGACUCGUGUGCUAGUGGAUGUGAAUGCUUGAGCAGAUGCUCUGCUCGUCCAUGGAGGCAAAGCGCGACGAGGUGGCAUCGAUGUGGUGGUAGCACCAUGCAGGGGCUCUGAGCGUUGCUAUGAUCCGGUGGAGGCAAGGCACGAGCUUUUGCAUACUGCCAUGGUCGUCCAUGGCGGACUCAUCCUUAGAUGCGACGGAAAAUAAUGGCUAAAACAUGAAUCGGUUCGGAGAGAGGCUGCAAGGAUAGACUGCUCACCGAGGGUCCCUUAGGACAUGGAGAUGACCUCGGGGUGGCACAUGCGUGGUCGGAGGAGGUCGAUGCUGGUGCGAGGACGCACCAGUUUCACGACUCUGAUGACACCAGAUCAGGCACCGUGGAGGUGCUCCCAUCCUGCUCACGCCUGGAAUCCGUCAAGGGACAUGUCGGGCUACUAGAAGACAUGAUGGAGCGGUUGGACGGUCCCAUCCGAAGGGGAGGACAAGGACUACGACACGCAAAGCGAUGCUGCAGCUCUCUGGAUCUCUCUGAACUAUCUCUAACUCUCUCGCUGAAAUUUACGAGGAAGAAGCAAGGAGAAGGGAAGAGAGGUGGCGACAACACGAGAGAAUAAGAGGGGAAAUCCUAGGGGAGGUGCAUGUUCUUAUAGGAGGGCCCACAUGGCAUACCUUGGUGUUUGUGAGCUGACGGCGCGACCGAAUUCCUCGUGUGUCUCUGUAGCAGGAAGACCGAGAUGAACGGAGCUACAUACCGUGAGGGAAGGGGGCUGGGAUUGAAGAUAAAGUGAGGCUAGGUGGGUUUCGG
rnacentral:lncRNA from 1 species